rnacentral:rRNA from 1 species
GGAAAACUUACCAGGUCCAGACACAGUGAGGAUUGACAGAUUGAUGAUCUUUCUUGAUUCUGUGGGUGGUGGUGCAUGGCCGUUCUUAGUUGGUGGAGUGAUUUGUCUGGUUAAUUCCGUUAACGAACGAGACCUCGACCUGCUAACUAGUAUGCAGUAGUUUAACUACGGGUAUACUUCUUAGAGGGACACUUGGUGUGUAGCCAAUGGAAGUUCGAGGCAAUAA